AGCCAGGGGCGGGAAUCGAACCCACAACCUUCUGCUUACCGGGCAGGUGCCAUGUCCACUAGGCUACCCUGGA